AUGGUCAGCAAAGUGUUAGUGGAGCGCUACGGCGUUUCAAAGCCCUUUGGUGUUGUAAGGGUUCAUUCAUUCGUCUGUCUACAGGCAUCAUGCCAUGAGAUCUGCUCUCCCAGUCAGCAUGCACCUUGCUUGCAGCAGCGUAUGUGUAUCGAGGCACUGUUCUUCAGAUUCGAUGUGGGGUCCUUUGGCAUCUGGGUGGCUCCGAGGGAGUGAGGCAGAGAUGGGGUCCACAGUAGGCAGGCUGCAGGAGCCUCGGCCAAGUUCACUGGACCGCAGGACCUGGGCCUGGCCAAUGGUGAGAACCUGAAGGAGACCACUGCACCAAGCUGCUCAAGGCCAUCGAGCAGUUCCAGACAGAGAAAGGCUUCUGGGGGCCCUCCCUGAAGUAGCUCCUGCCCUUCUGCACAGGAGGCCAAGACUGGAGUUCCACCAGUCAGUGUUCAAUGAGUUACGUGACAAACUGGUGCGAGGGUCAGCCAUCGCCUCAGAAAGGGAAGGAUGAGGAAAGGGAGUGGGCAGGGAUGCUAAACUGGAAGGUCUCCUGGAGAAGAGCUUUUCUCUGGUCAAGAUGCCCUCUCUGCAGCCAGGGGUGAUGUGCCCAGAGUUCCUGAGAAGAAGCUGAAGUUGGUGAUGGCAGACAAGUAGCUUUACCCAGCUUAUGCUAUGGAGGUGAAGUGGCACAUCUGGCAGGACAACCAGGCACUCUUUGGUGAUGAGGUCUCCUCACUGCUGAAGCAGUACAUUCUGGACAAGGAGACUGUGCUCUUCAGCACAGAGUUUUCCAUCCUGCACAACUUCUUCAGUCCCCAAAGAUGAGGCGCCAGGGGAGGUGGUGCAGAAGUUGACACAGAUGUUGGGGAGAAACAUGAAGCUGUUUGACGUGGUGCUGCAGUUCCUGCAUAUGCUCUUCCUGUGGACCAUAAAUGUGCACAAUGCACUCUGUGUGCUGAGCUACUCAUGUCCCUGCAUGAUCUAGACUCCUGCCACAAGUUCACCUGGUGUCUAGAUGCCUGCAUCAGAGAGCAGUUUGUGGAUAGUAAGAGAGCCUGAGAGCUUCAGGGAUUUCUUGAUGGAGUAAAGAAAAAGCAGGAGCAUGCCUUAGGAGAUUUGUUCACAAUCCUAUGUGACCCCUUUGCCAUCAACACUCUGUCACUGAGCACCAUCCGAAACCCGCAGGCACUGAUAAGCCAGGAGACAUUGCCCAGGGACAUCCCUGACCUUCUUCUGCUGUUCAGGCUGCUAGCGCUGGCCCGGGGAGCAUGGGAUUUGAUCGACAGCCAGCCAGGUCUUCAAGGAGCUCAAGAUGGAGGCAGAGCUCGUCAUCAUUCAGGUCCUGCCGAUGCUCAUGUCCUUUGUGGUUGACCACUACACUUUCAAUACGGACCAGAAGCUUCCAGCCAAGGAGAAAGCCCCAGUGACGUACCCCAACACACUUCCUGAAAGUUUCACCAAGUUUCUGCAGGAGCAGUGCAUGGCCUGUGAGGUGGGGUUGUAUUACGUCCCACAUAUCACCAAGCAGAGGAACAAGAAUGCCUUCCUGCACCUGCUGCCUGGGCUCAUGGAGACCUUUGGAGACCUGGCCUUCAGCGUCAUCUUCCUCCACCUACUCACAGGGAGCCUUGCACUGCUAGCCAACAGGUUUGCUCUGGAGGAUUUCUGCAGUAGCCUCUUUGAUGGCUUUUUCCUCACUCCCUCUCCCAGAAGGAGAAUGUGCAGUGACAUAUGUUGUGGGUCCCCCUCCCCUUGCAUCUCAGGGUGGCUCCAUCCAAGCUGGAGGCCUUGCAGAAAGCUCUGGAGCCCAUGGGCCAGAGUGGGGAGACUGUGAAGGAACUUUACUCCCAUCUUGGUGAGAAGCUAGAGAAGCUGAAUGUCAGAAGGCCAGCCCUGCCCAGGAUGCAGAGACAGCAGCACUGGGGCUUCCCCUCCUUGGCAUGCCCACCACGGCUAUACUCUGA